GCACUGGCUAACUCUGUGCCAGCAGCCGCGGUAAUACAGAGAGUGCAAGCGUUAAUCGGAAUCACUGGGCGUAAAGCGCGCGUAGGUGGAUAUUUAAGUCGGAUGUGAAAGCCCUAGGCUUAACCUAGGAACUGCACUCGAUACUGGGUAUCUCGAGUAUGGUAGAGGGAAGUGGAAUUUCCGGUGUAGCGGUGAAAUGCGUAGAUAUCGGAAAGAACACCAGUGGCGAAGGCGGCUUCCUGGACCAAUACUGACACUGAGGCGCGAAAGCGUGGGGAGCAAACAGGAUUAGAGACCCUGGU
rnacentral:rRNA from 2 species